GAGAAGAAAGAAGAGAAGAAGAGAGAAAGAAACGGUUAAGAAAAAAGGUGUGGAAAAAAGUAGGGAAAGAAGAGAAGAGAUGGAAUGGAACUAAAAAAGUUAGGGAAAAGAAAGGAAAGAAAGAAAAACAGAAGUGAAAUAUGGAUAUUGUGUUAUGGGCUUAUGACUUUGAGGGGGGGAAAAAAAGGCAGAAUGUGAAACAGAAGGGCCCUAAAUAGUGGGUUUUUAAGAGCAACGCAAACGUGGUUUGUAAG
rnacentral:misc_RNA from 1 species